UACGGAGGGUGCAAACGUUGCUCGGAAUCAUUGGGCGUAAAGCGCACGUAGGCGGCCUGGUAAGUCGGAUGUGAAAUCCCUCGGCUCAACCGAGGAAGUGCAUUCGAAACUGCCAGGCUUGAAUAUGGAAGAGGGUCGCGGAAUUCCCGGUGUAGAGGUGAAAUUCGUAGAUAUCGGGAGGAACACCAGUGGCGAAGGCGGCGACCUGGGCCAAUAUUGACGGCUGAGGCACGAAAGCUAGGGGAGCAAACAGG
rnacentral:rRNA from 1 species